AUUGAACGCUGGCGGCAGGCUUAACACAUGCAAGUCGAGCGGGGGAAGGUAGCUUGCUACCGGACCUAGCGGCGGACGGGUGAGUAAUGCUUAGGAAUCUGCCUAUUAGUGGGGGACAACAUCUCGAAAGGGAUGCUAAUACCGCAUACGUCCUACGGGAGAAAGCAGGGGAUCUUCGGACCUUGCGCUAAUAGAUGAGCCUAAGUCGGAUUAGCUAGUUGGUGGGGUAAAGGCCUACCAAGGCGACGAUCUGUAGCGGGUCUGAGAGGAUGAUCCGCCACAAGGGGGCCGGGACACGGCCCAGACUCCUACGGGAGGCAGCAGUGGGGAAUAUUGGACAAUGGGGGGAACCCUGAUCCAGCCAUGCCGCGUGUGUGAAGAAGGCCUUAUGGUUGUAAAGCACUUUAAGCGAGGAGGAGGCUACUCUAGUUAAUACCUAGGGAUAGUGGACGUUACUCGCAGAAUAAGCACCGGCUAACUCUGUGCCAGCCGCCGCCGUAA
rnacentral:rRNA from 1 species